rnacentral:rRNA from 1 species
GAAUAUUGGACAAUGGGCGCAAGCCUGAUCCAGCCAUGCCGCGUGAGUGAUGAAGGCCUUAGGGUUGUAAAGCUCUUUCACCGGUGAAGAUAAUGACGGUAACCGGAGAAGAAGCCCCGGCCAACUUCGUGCCAGCAGCCGCGGUAAUACGAAGGGGGCUAGCGUUGUUCGGAAUUACUGGGCGUAAAGCGCACGUAGGCGGACUAGUAAGUCAGGGGUGAAAUCCCGGAGCUCAACUCCGGAACUGCCUUUGAUACUGGUAGUCUAGAGUCCGAGAGAGGUGAGUGGAACUCCUAGUGUAGAGGUGGAAUUCGUAGAUAUUAGGAAGAACACCAGUGGCGAAGGCGGCUCACUGGCUCGGUACUGACGCUGAGGUGCGAAAGCGUGGGGAGCAAACAGG